CUUUCUCUCUCUCUGUCUCUCUCUUUAAAUGAGCAGCAAUGACAGCAAGUAACAAGGUAUCACGUCAUUUUACAAGCAGUUUGAAUUUGGAGGUUAGAUUUUGGUAGAUUUGGUUUGCUGUAAAUCAGGCCCACAAGCCAUUAUAGGUCCACAAUGUUUUGUGAUGAUGGUGUGGCAGACCUUGAUGAACUAUGAUAGAAUAUACUCAUAAGUUGUCAUCCAUAGGCAAAGAAAGUUUAGUAUUGCUGAAUUAAUAGGCAAUUGCAUUCCAGAAUGUCUUGAGCUUAAUUAUGUAGGGAAAAAAAAAAUUAAUUGUUUACAGGGGCUUAGUAGUCCUUACCUAUGUUGUAUGCCUCAGGCUAGGGUAAUCUUGGUUUUUAUUUUCAACGUUAAAACCCUAGGCUAGGAUGAAAUGUUGUAUAGCCUUACAAUAGUAUCUUGGAUGAUGAUGAGAUUUUCUUUUGCCUUAAAAAGAUAAGGUAAUUGUAUUGGGUUGAAAUGCAUUGAUAUUAAUGUGAACAAAUAUAUGAAGAUAACUGCAUAGUGCUUAGGCUAUGACAAAAAGACUGCUAAGCUACUGAGUUUUUUGUGAACACAUAAUUCUUGCACUGUUAUGUUGUGUAGCUCCCAUAAAUUCUUGGAAGACAAGCUUUAGAAACAUGUAUGUUUUUAUGUGCUAUUAUUUUGUAGGAGUAACUCAUUUAUUACCAACUUAUUAGUAGUUAUUUUUAUCAAUCUUGUAGCACU
rnacentral:misc_RNA from 1 species